rnacentral:ncRNA from 1 species
UAGAAACAUUUGGGGUGCGUAAAGCUGAGAUUAUACCCAUGGAAUCUGCUCCAGUUAGUACUGGCGAAGAGAAAUGUAUCAUUUAUGAU